GACAAGAUAGUUUAUUAUAAAAUGUUUAUUUUACACGUAAGAGAAGGGGUGAAGUUUCUAUUGUUA
rnacentral:tRNA from 1 species